UUAAGAACCCACCACUUACUAUAUAGGAGAGGUCGGGUAAAUUUAAGAACCCACCACUUACUAUAUAGGAGAGGUCGGGUAAAUUUAAGAACCCACCACUUACUAUAUAGGAGAGGUCGGGUAAAUUUAAGAACCCACCACUUACUAUAUAGGAGAGGUCGGGUAAAUUUAAGAACCCACCACUUACUAUAUAGGAGAGGUCGGGUAAAUGUAAGAACCCACCACUUACUAUAUAGGAGAGGUCGGGUAAAUUUAACAACCCACCACUUACUAUAUAGGAGAGGUCGCAAUUUAUGCAACAAAUUGGUCAAUGCCAAACCUCCAGCCACAAAAGAAAACGAGCCAGGCUCUUUUACGCCCUCUUCUGAUUGGUUGCUGUAAAUGCAGAUGCUGAGCCCAGUGCAACAAUAUGAUGAAGUGUGAAUGUUUCUGCCACCCACAUACAGGAACACGGUUCCAAAUUAAUGACAUUAUUACGUGUUCCACCACCCAUGUUAUCAACAUGAUUAAAUGUCCAUGUGGGCUGUGUUAUGUAGGUAAACACCACCCAUGUUAUCAACAUGAUUAAAUGUCCAUGUGGGCUGUGUUAUGUAGGUAAACACCACCCAUGUUAUCUACAUGAUUAAAUGUCCAUGUGGGCUGUGUUAUGUAGGUAAACACCACCCAUGUUAUCUACAUGAUUAAAUGUCCAUGUGGGCUGUGUUAUGUAGGUAAACACCACCCAUGUUAUCUACAUGAUUAAAUGUCCAUGUGGGCUGUGUUAUGUAGGUAAACACCACCCAUGUUAUCAACAUGAUUAAAUGUCCAUGUGGGCUGUGUUAUGUAGGUAAACACCACCCAUGUUAUCUACAUGAUUAAAUGUCCAUGUGGGCUGUGUUAUGUAGGUAAACACCACCCAUGUUAUCAACAUGAUUAAAUGUCCAUGUGGGCUGUGUUAUGUAGGUAAACACCACCCAUGUUAUCUCCAUGAUUAAAUGUCCAUGUGGGCUGUGUUAUGUAGGUAAACACCACC